rnacentral:rRNA from 1 species
CCUACGGGAGGCAGCAGUGGGGAAUAUUGCACAAUGGGGGAAACCCUGAUGCAGCGACGCCGCGUGAGUGAAGAAGUGUUUCGGUACGUAAAGCUCUGUCAGCAGGGAAGAAGCAAGACUGUACCUAACCAAGAAGCGUCGGCGAACUACGAGCCAGCAGCAGCGGUAAUACGUAGGCGGCAAGCGUUAGCCGGAUUUACGGGGUGUAAAGGGAGCGUAGUCGGCUGGGCAAGGCUGGAGUGAAAGCCCAGGGCUCAACCCUGGGACUGCUUUGGAAACUGUGGUGCUAGAGUGCAGGAGAGGUAAGUGGAAUUCCUAGUGUAGCGGUGAAAUGCGUAGAUAUUAGGAGGAACACCAGUGGCGAAGGCGGCUUACUGGACAGUAACUGACGUUGAGGCUCGAAAGCGUGGGGAGCAAACAGGAUUAGAUACCCCAGUAGUC